AUACGUAGGGUGCGAGCGUUGUCCGGAAUUAUUGGGCGUAAAGAGCUUGUAGGCGGUUUGUCGCGUCUGCCGUGAAAAUCCGGGGCUCAACCCCGGACUUGCGGUGGGUACGGGCAGACUAGAGUGUGGUAGGGGAGACUGGAAUUCCUGGUGUAGCGGUGAAAUGCGCAGAUAUCAGGAGGAACACCGAUGGCGAAGGCAGGUCUCUGGGCCACUACUGACGCUGAGAAGCGAAAGCGUGGGGAGCGAACAGGAUUAGAUACCCUGGUAGUCCACGCCGUAAACGUUGGGAACUAGGUGUGGGUCUCAUUCCACGAGAUCUGUGCCGCAGCUAACGCAUUAAGUUCCCCGCCUGGGGAGUACGGCCGCAAGGCUAAA
rnacentral:rRNA from 1 species